GAUGUUUCUGUGGUGUAGCGGUUAUCACGUUUGCUUUACACACAAAGGUCUCCGGUUCGAUCCCGGGCAGGAACAU
rnacentral:tRNA from 1 species